GGGGAAGUAGCUCAGUUGGGAGAGCGCAGCGUUCGCAAUGCUGAGGUCGGGAGUUCGAUCCUCCUCUUCUCCACCC
rnacentral:tRNA from 1 species